ACCUUACCCUGCCCAAGAGGUUAUCCUGAAGCAGCGUCUCCUGGAGCACCGGGGCCACCUCCUCCAAGCUCAGCAUGUGGCAAAGAGUUAAAGCCUAACAGACACCUACCAGUGACAGAAAUCUUCCUCAGAGAUGAAGAAAAGUUGGGUUUUGAGUGACAAACCCUCCUUCAAAUCACAAAGCACAAUUCCAGCUUUAUGAAGCCCACCACAACCCGGGGCCUCUCUCCGCCAUCUACCUUCCCAAUCACAUUGCCAGUAGCCUUCACAAUUCCUUUGGAAUAGAAGGGCCAGUGUGGGCAAUAUUUUGGAGUUCUAACUAGGGAUGGCUAAAAAAGAGGCAGAUGCACACAGCCAUUUAUCAAAAACAUUUACCACCCAAUAAGCACCCAUAAUGAGAACUAUUUGGAGCGUUUUCCUUCCAAAUAACUCAAAACAAGGCUGCCAACAUGCAUAGACCCCAACGGGGAUGUCCGUUACAGAUCUGUGCUACUGUGUGCCACUCGGCAACCCCAGCUGAUGAAAUCGGUGCCAACUGGGACUGGAAAAGACAUAACUGGAGGUACAGCUGGAAUAAUGAAGUCCCCAACAUCAGGCCACCAUGAAGCGCAUGCGUGAACUUCUGAACUUUCUGGCAUCCAAGGUACAGAAAAGAGCUUGUAAGAAUGGCACCCCAGCCAAAGGGGACGUCUGUUCUGGGCCAGAGGGAGUGAAAAAGAGACAAAGUCUGGCAAGGGAAAAACCAAAUAAUAAAUGAGCACAAUGCCUGGAGCCCCUAGCCCAGGCCUUUUAUUUCCCUCCAGAUGGUCCAGCAGCUGAACAGCUAUGUGGAAUGUCUGGAUGUCCCUCUCAGCUCAGCCGCUUUCCUUGGGUAUCAUAAUAGAUGCUUUUAGGUUUGUGUUCAGACAUAGCUGUUGGGGGUCCACAGACCAGGCAGUGACCACCAAGUGACUAAUUUAGUUACUUUAUAACUAAAGCGGUGAACAUGGAGAAACCCUGCUCUGGGAACGCUUUUCAUUCACGCCUUUAGCUUUCAGGGUUUGGCAAGUCAGAGCCUCAUAAUGCCAAUGAUCAAAUUACAAUGUUUCCUUUUCUUCUCUCUCUCUCUCUUUUUUUUUUUUUUUUG